UACGUAGGUGGCGAGCGUUGUCCGGAAUUACUGGGUGUAAAGGGCGUGUAGGCGGGAAUGUAAGUCAGAUGUGAAAUACCGGGGCUCAACUCCGGAACUGCAUCUGAAACUAUGUUUCUUGAGUGCUGGAGAGGAAAGCGGAAUUCCUAGUGUAGCGGUGAAAUGCGUAGAUAUUAGGAGGAACACCAGUGGCGAAGGCGGCUUUCUGGACAGUAACUGACGCUGAGGCGCGAAAGCGUGGGGAGCAAACAGG
rnacentral:rRNA from 1 species